rnacentral:rRNA from 1 species
UACGAAGGGGGCUAGCGUUGCUCGGAAUCACUGGGCGUAAAGGGCGCGUAGGCGGCUCAUGAAGGCUGUGGUGAAAGUCCGGGGCUCAACCUCGGAUCGGCCGUGGCGACUCGUGGGCUGGAGCACUGUAGAGGCGGGUGGAAUUCCGGGUGUAGCGGUGGAAUGCGUAGAGAUCCGGAAGAACACCAGUGGCGAAGGCGGCCCGCUGGGCAGUGGCUGACGCUGAGGCGCAACAGCGUGGGGAGCAAACAGG